GGCUGUUGUCUGUGCAGAGGGUCCCUGGUUCGAGCCCAGGUAGGGGCAAGGAAAGGGGCGGAAGCAAAACUGUUACACGGGCACCAUUUGAAUCCGGAGAAUAAUCUCCUCUUUGUAAUUAUGAAGUCAAAGCGGGCACUCGAAAAUGGUCGAAACUGUAGAUAUUGCCAGAUGUUCACUGUCCGAGGAACAGGCCGUGGAAGCUUUAUUGCUGGCAAAAGUAUCCAUAACCAGAGGUUAUAUGAGCUGUUUUGGUGAACCCCUUUUGCAUCUGAACAGGCUGGCAGAGGGCACAUCAUGAUCAUAGGUAUGUUUUGAUGUGAGAGAGGAAGCCAGUCCCGUCAUCGCCACCUCACCUGCUCUUAAGAUAACCUUCGGGCCAACAGGGGUCCCACGGUUGGUUAGGAGACACCACAAUUUUGAUGAACUGAGAGAAUAUUAGGGUAGCACUGUAAUUCAUGAAUCCUAUGCUGUCUGCUGCUGUUCUUACCUUUCCCUUUCUGUCUUCUACACCUCUCUCCCCACCUUGACGGUCUUCCUCAUUUUAUAAUGCACACCAUAUGUGCAUUGAAGUACAGAUUGAACUUGUAUUUAUAAUAUUACAAUUAUCAUAAUA